CAGUCGCCGCGGGAAUACGUAGGGUGCGAGCGUUAAUCGGAAUUACUGGGCGUAAAGCGUGCGCAGGCGGUUCGUUAAGACAGAUGUGAAAUCCCCGGGCUUAACCUGGGAACUGCAUUUGUGACUGGCGAGCUAGAGUAUGGCAGAGGGGGGUAGAAUUCCACGUGUAGCAGUGAAAUGCGUAGAGAUGUGGAGGAAUACCGAUGGCGAGGGCAGCCCCCUGGGCCAAUACUGACGCUCAUGCACGAAAGCGUGGGGAGCAAACAGGAUUAGAUACCCGCGUAGUCCCUGUCUCUUAUAC
rnacentral:rRNA from 1 species